AUGGUCCAAGAGAAAAUAGAGAAAACAAAUGCUAACAGCCGCCAUGUGGCAAUCCCAGUUCUGCAAGAGAAACUAGCCAAGACUCAGGUGGCUAGGGGACAGCUGAAUUUCAAGGGCAAGAGCCUCAAACUCAACUCCACGGAAGAUGCUAAAUAUGUGAUUAAAGAGACUGAAGACUUUGACAAGUUGGAGACUCUGUGUCUGGAAGGCAACACAGUGGGCAUGGAAGCAGCCCGAGUCAUCGCCAAGGCCUUAGAGAAGAAGUCAGAGUUGAAGUGCUGCCACUGGAGCGACAUGUUCACAGGGAGGCUGCGGUCCGAGAUCCGCAGCCCUGAUCUCACUAGGGGAAGGACUCAUCACAGCUGGGGCCCAGCUGGUGGAACUGGAUUUAAGUAGCAACGCAUUCGGGCCUGACGGUGUGCAAGGCUUUGAUGCCCUACUCAAGAGCUCAGCCUGUUUCACCCUGCACGAACUCCAGCUCAACAACUGCGGCAUAGGUUUUGGGGGCAGCAAGAUCCUGGCUGCAGCUCUGACUGAGUGUCACUGGAAAUCCAGUGCCCAAAGCAAGCCUCUGGCCCUGAAGGUCUUUGUGGCUGGCAGAAACCAUCUGAGGAACGAUGGCACCGCUGCAUUGGCAGAAGCUUUUAGGGUCACUGGGACCGUGGAGGAGGUCCACAUGCCACAGAAUGGGAUCAACCACCCUGGUGUCACUGCCCUGGCCCAGGCUUUUGCCGUCAACCCCUGCUGCAGGUCAUCAACCUGAACCCCACCACCUUCAGUGAGAAGGGCACUGUGGCCAUGGCCGAGACCUUGAAGACCUUGCAGCAGGUAGAGGUGAUCAAUUCUGGGGACUGCCUGGUGCGCUCCAAGGGUGCUGUUGCCAUUGCAGAUGCCAUCCACAGUGGCCUGCCCAAGCUGAAGGAACUGAACUUGUCAUUCUGUGAAAUCAAGAGAGAUGCUGCCCUGGCUGUUACUGAGGCCAUGGCAGACAAAGCUGAGCUGGAGAAGCUGGACCUGAAUGGCAACACCCUGGGAGAAGGCUGUGAGCAGCUGCAGGAGGUGCUGGACGGCUUCAACAUGGCCAAGGUGCUGGCAUCCCUCAGUGAUGAGGACAAGGAAGAAGGAGAAGAGGAAGAAGAGGAAGCGGAGGAAGAAGAUAAGGAAGAAGAAUAAGAGGAAGAAGGGGAAAAGGAAAAGCCUUAGCAUCAAGUGUAGGGAAAGAAGUCAGCCACACCCUCACAGAAGAGUCUGGACCCUAACCCUGGGAAGCCAGCUCCCGUGCUCCCCACCUCCUGUAGGUCUCCACCUUCCUGGCCUUUCCAUCUCCAGAGAAGGUGCUACACCUGGGGCCAAGAGCUCUGUGCUGAUAGCCCAGCAGACUGACACACCUGACCCCGAGAAGGUGGUCUCUGCCUUCCUAAAGGUGUCAUAUGUGUUCAAGGACGAAGCCACUGUGAGACAGCAGUGCAGGAUGCAAUAGAUGCCCUGAUGAAGAAGGCCUUUAGUUCCUCAUCCUUCAACUCCAACACCUUCCUCACCAGGCUCCUCAUACACAUGGGUCUGCUCAAGAGUGAAGACAAGGUCAAGGCCAUUGCCAACCUCUACGGCCCCCUGAUGGUGCUGACCACAUGGUGCAGCAGGGCUAUUUCCCCAAGGCCCUUGCACCCCUGCUGCUGGCGUUCAUGACCAAGCCCAACAGCACCCUGGAAUACUGCUGCUUUGCCCACAACAAUCUGCUGUAGAUGCUGUACAAGGUCUAGACUCAAAGCCUCUCCCAUCCUUUGGCCUGGACCAAUGACCUGGGGAGGGAGUUAGAUGAACUGAGGUGCAGCCUACACCAUCCCCUUGGACAGUACUCUGGCCAGAGGCAGGGCGGGUCUGUGUCCCAUGUGUCC